AGAGUUUGAUCCUGGCUCAGGAUGAACGCUGGCGGCGUGCUUAACACAUGCAAGUCGAACGAUGAAGCCCUUCGGGGUGGAUUAGUGGCGAACGGGUGAGUAACACGUGGGCAAUCUGCCCUUCACUCUGGGACAAGCCCUGGAAACGGGGUCUAAUACCGGAUGACACUCUGUCCCGCAUGGGACGGGGUUGAAAGCUCCGGCGGUGAAGGAUGAGCCCGCGGCCUAUCAGCUUGUUGGUGGGGUGAUGGCCUACCAAGGCGACGACGGGUAGCCGGCCUGAGAGGGCGACCGGCCACACUGGGACUGAGACACGGCCCAGACUCCUACGGGAGGCAGCAGUGGGGAAUAUUGCACAAUGGGCGAAAGCCUGAUGCAGCGACGCCGCGUGAGGGAUGACGGCCUUCGGGUUGUAAACCUCUUUCAGCAGGGAAGAAGCGAAAGUGACGGUACCUGCAGAAGAAGCGCCGGCUAACUACGUGCCAGCAGCCGCGGUAAUACGUAGGGCGCAAGCGUUGUCCGGAAUUAUUGGGCGUAAAGAGCUCGUAGGCGGCUUGUUGCGUCGGUUGUGAAAGCCCGGGGCUUAACCCCGGGUCUGCAGUCGAUACGGGCAGGCUAGAGUGUGGUAGGGGAGAUCGGAAUUCCUGGUGUAGCGGUGAAAUGCGCAGAUAUCAGGAGGAACACCGGUGGCGAAGGCGGAUCUCUGGGCCAUUACUGACGCUGAGGAGCGAAAGCGUGGGGAGCGAACAGGAUUAGAUACCCUGGUAGUCCACGCCGUAAACGUUGGGAACUAGGUGUUGGCGACAUUCCACGUCGUCGGUGCCGCAGCUAACGCAUUAAGUUCCCCGCCUGGGGAGUACGGCCGCAAGGCUAAAACUCAAAGGAAUUGACGG
rnacentral:rRNA from 1 species